rnacentral:rRNA from 1 species
UCCGAAAGGGGCUAGCGUUGUUCGGAAUUACUGGGCGUAAAGCGCACGUAGGCGGCCUUGUAAGUUGGGGGUGAAAUCCCGGGGCUCAACUCCGGAACUGCCUUCAAGACUGCAAAGCUAGAGGACGCGAGAGGUUAGCGGAAUUCCGAGUGUAGAGGUGAAAUUCGUAGAUAUUCGGAAGAACACCAGUGGCGAAGGCGGCUAACUGGCGCGUUUCUGACGCUGAGGUGCGAAAGCGUGGGGAGAAAACAGG